AAAGAAUUAGUUUAAUGAAUAAAAAUAUUAAUUUGUCAAAUUAACGAAACUAUUUAGUAUUCUUUU
rnacentral:tRNA from 1 species